UGCCAUAUCAAUAAGCGGAGGAAAAGAAACCAACAGGGAUUGCCUCAGUAACGGCGAGUGAAGCGGCAAAAGCUCAAAUUUGAAAUCUAGCACCUUCGGUGUUCGAGUUGUAAUUUGAAGAUGGUAACCUUGGGUUUGGCUCUUGUCUAUGUUCCUUGGAACAGGACGUCAUAGAGGGUGAGAAUCCCGUCUGAUGAGAUGCCCAUUCCUAUGUAAGGUGCUAUCGAAGAGUCGAGUUGUUUGGGAAUAA
rnacentral:rRNA from 1 species